rnacentral:rRNA from 1 species
UACGAAGGGGGCUAGCGUUGCUCGGAAUUACUGGGCGUAAAGGGAGCGUAGGCGGACAGUUUAGUCAGAGGUGAAAGCCCAGGGCUCAACCUUGGAAUUGCCUUUGAUACUGGCUAUCUUGAGUACGGAAGAGGUAUGUGGAACUCCGAGUGUAGAGGUGAAAUUCGUAGAUAUUCGGAAGAACACCAGUGGCGAAGGCGACAUACUGGUCCGUUACUGACGCUGAGGCUCGAAAGCGUGGGGAGCAAACAGG